GUAGGGAAUCUUGCGCAAUGGGCGAAAGCCUGACGCAGCCAUGCCGCGUGAAUGAUGAAGGUCUUAGGAUUGUAAAAUUCUUUCACCGGGGACGAUAAUGACGGUACCCGGAGAAGAAGCCCCGACUAACUUCGUGCCAGCAGCCGCGGUAAUACGAAGGGGGCUAGCGUUGCUCGGAAUUACUGGGCGUAAAGGGAGCGUAGGCGGAUAGUUUAGUCAGAGGUGAAAGCCCAGGGCUCAACCUUGGAAUUGCCUUUGAUACUGGCUAUCUUGAGUAUGGAAGAGGUAUGUGGAACUCCGAGUGUAGAGGUGAAAUUCGUAGAUAUUCGGAAGAACACCAGUGGCGAAGGCGACAUACUGGUCCAUUACUGACGCUGAGGCUCGAAAGCGUGGGGAGCAAACAGGAUUAGAUACCCUUGUAGUCC
rnacentral:rRNA from 1 species